CCGAGACGGGAACAACCGAGACCGGGGUUAAGGCCCCUAAGUGCCGGCUAAGUG
rnacentral:rRNA from 1 species